AGCAGCCGCGGUAAUUCCAGCCCCUAUAGCGUAUAUUAAAGUUGUUGCAGUUAAAAAGCUCGUAGUUGAAUUUCGGAAUCUGUCCGUUGGUCGGGCUUCACUGUCCGUACUGGUGUGAUGGGUUCUUACCUUCUGAAUAACCAGCAUGCCAUUCAUUUGGUGCGCUGGGGAAGCAGGACUAUUACCUUGAAAAAAUUAGAGUGCUCAAAGCAGGCUAGUGCCUGAAUACAUUAGCAUGGAAUAAUAAAAUAGGACGGCAUGGUUCUAUUUUGUUGGUUUCUAGGAUCACCGUAAUGAUUAAUAGGGAUAGUUGGGGGCAUUANUAUUCAAUUGUCAGAGGUGAAAUUCUUGGAUUUAUUGAAGACUAACUUCUGCGAAAGCAUUUGCCAAGGAUGUUUUCAUUAAUCAAGAACGAAAGUUAGGGGAUCGAAGACGAUCAGAUACCGUCGUAGUCUUAACCAUAAACUAUGCCGACUAGGGAUCGGACGAUGUUAAUUUUUUAAUGACUCG
rnacentral:rRNA from 1 species